GGAGAGGUGGCAGAGUGGUCUAUUGCGGCGGUCUUGAAAACCGCUUCCCGCUUCGCGGGACGGGGGUUCGAAUCCCUCCCUCUCCGCCA
rnacentral:tRNA from 1 species